rnacentral:tRNA from 1 species
ACUUGAAUAGCUUAUUUUAGAGCACGACACUGAAGAUGUCGAUGAGGUACAUGUACCUUUGAGUA